rnacentral:rRNA from 1 species
CCUCCUGGUGGGGAAUAACCCUGGGAAACCGGGGCUAAUACCGCAUAAGUCCGGAAGGGGAAAGGCGAAAGUCGCCGGGAGAGGAGCCCGCGGCCGAUUAGCUGGUUGGUGAGGUAAGAGCUCACCAAGGCGAUGAUCGGUAGCCGGCCUGAGAGGGCACACGGCCACACUGGCACUGAAACACGGGCCAGACUCCUACGGGAGGCAGCAGUGGGGAAUCUUGCACAAUGGGGGGAACCCUGAUGCAGCGACGCCGCGUGAGCGAUGAAGCCCUUCGGGGUGUAAAGCUCUUUCGGCAGGAACGAUAAUGACGGUACCUGCAGAAGAAGCUGCGGCUAACUACGUGCCAGCAGCGCGGUAA